rnacentral:rRNA from 1 species
GGAGGGGACACCAGUUGGAAACGACUGCUAAUCCCGGAUGAGCCGAAAGGUAAAAGAUUUAUCGCCUAGAGAGGGGCUUGCGUCUGAUUAGCUAGUUGGUAAGGUAAAGGCUUACCAAGGCGACGAUCAGUAGCUGGUCUGAGAGGAUGAUCAGCCACACUGGGACUGAGACACGGCCCAGACUCCUACGGGAGGCAGCAGUGGGGAAUUUUCCGCAAUGGGCGAAAGCCUGACGGAGCAAGACCGCGUGGGGGAGGAAGGUUCUUGGAUUGUCAACCCCUUUUCUCAGGGAAGAACACAAUGACGGUACCUGAGGAAAAAGCAUCGGCUAACUCCGUGCCAGCAGCCGCGGUAAUACGGGGGAUGCAAGCGUUAUCCGGAAUGAUUGGGCGUAAAGAGUCCGUAGGUAGUCAUCCAAGUCUGCUGUUAAAGAGCGAGGCUUAACUUCCUAAAGGCAGUGGAAACUGGAAGACUUGAGUGUAGUAGGGGUAGAGGGAAUUCCCGGUGUAGCGGUGAAAUGCGUAGAGAUCAGGAAGAACACCGGUGGCGAAGGCGCUCUGCUGGGCUAUAACUGACCCUGAGGGACGAAAGCUAGGGGAGCGAAUGGGAUUAGAUACCCCCUGUAGUCAACGA